CCAUAAUGCGCAAUGGACCUCUUCCUGGUUGCGCACAGAAAUAGAUCGCCGUUCGUAAUAUUGCUAGUGUUAUUUUUGGAUUGUGCUUUCAGAUUAACAAUUUCGGGUCACUAACAAUGUUUUUUAGCAUCUUCGGUGUCUUUCUAUCAAAACUAUGGAUUGACAAUUUCUUAUUACCCAAAUUCGUCAUCACAUGUCAAACCUCUUCUGGAUCAGUAGGUUACUUGUCCUCUUCAACCCGGAAAAUGUUGCAUUUUUAAAGAAAUUUAAAAAAGAGAGCGAAUGUUAAUCUGAUCCGUACGUAUUCAUGAGUCUAGUUUUUAAAAACAUCUUCACGCAAGACGUCAGAAAAGACUCCUCGACAGUGAACAUAAGGAGGAAGGGGCAGGGGGACCCAGACAUCUGGAGUUGUCAACUGUUAUAAAAACUGGCUCACUGAACUGGAGGGGCACCUACAAGAGCCUACCAUCAUUUCCCCAGAAAGCUGACAGACUCCUGGCCGAGUUUCCAACUUCCCCCACCUGUCAGCAGGGGCCCCAGACAGCUGGAUCCUCAUCUGAGGCCACAUGUGCAGGUGUGGCAGAGACAGGCCAGUCCUGCGCCACACAGUCACCUUCAUUGACUGAAGUGCUGAGUGAGAGCUGUACCACUUCAAAGGAGAGAGCACUGCCAGCACUGAGUCAAGUCUGCAGACCCACCCCUCUGAAGGAUAUCAUGGUUUCACAGGGUGGAGAAGGCUCCAAGUUAGUUUUGGCUGGGGAAAAAGCUCUCUGUAGUUGAGCUUUUUUUAAAAAAUAACCUUAUCUUGUACUUUUUUAGCCGCCCCUUUUUCAGUAAGUGGCAUUCCAUUCACACCAAAAUUCAAAGGGUAGGAGAUGUGAGUCUAGGCCCUAAUAUAGCUCUGUACUGGAAACUAAUACUGCCAUGCGCACUCUAUCAGAUCAUAUCACAGUGGAGUGCCGGCAGUUCUGCAGACAUGGUAUUAUUUUUCAAUAGUGCCCUUCUUAGAGAACCAUUUUGAAAUCCCUGAAUGCAGCAACAUCAAGAAAUAUGGUAUCCCGUUUUCCACAUAGGAAAGUGAGAAAAGGCCGGAUGAGGGUUGAUCGGUUUAGUUCCUGUUCUACAGAGUAAAUAUUUAAUUUAAUCCACCUAUCUUCCAACACACCAAAUCCAGUACAGGGUCACAGGGAGGGCCGGAGCCUAACCUGGCAAGCAAUGAGCACAAGGCAGGAAACACCCUGAACACCGGUCCAUCACAGGGCACAAACACACACACUCACAACAGAGUCACUUUUACAGAAGACAACCUUAGGAUUCUGAACAGGCUGGAGGGUUGUAGGUUCAAGUCCUACAUGUGCUGCUCCGUUGUACCAAACUGCUGCUGAGAGAGCUGAAGUGCAGGGUGAUCUCUCUGGGUUUACAGGUCCGAGUCUGGACCAUGUCACUAACCAAGUGUGACCGGGAUUCUUCCAGAGGCAGUGUACAACCGACUAAGUGCUACCAAGGGUGUGGUGGAAUUAGUUAUUUAUCAGGAUUGGGAUCGUGGUGACAUACUGAUUCCUGAGGUGCACAUGAUAGUGUUGGUAGUGGUGCCCAAGAAGUGUUAAUAAGAUGAAGCAAAAAAAACCAAAAGGCUAGUCCUAUCCAAUAUUAUCUGAGCAGCCAAUUAGAGACAGAUUCGGUUCUAGGGUAUAGAGGGUAGACUCAAAGUCUCAAUAUACUUUUAAAAAUGGUAGACCCACUAGCUGUUUCUUUGUGUCUUCUGUCGUCCUCCUCUUUCGUUUUACUCUUUUUUGGGAGGGAUGUAAGAAGUGGAGUGGAAAUUCUGUAUUUUCCCUUUCCAUAAUUUAGUCUCAGAUGAAACACUCCCAAUGAUGUACUAUUUAGUGUCCUGUAACAUUACUAUAAGAUUAAACUUAUGCAUCAUGUUUUUUGGUUGGUUAAAAAACAACAACUCAUUGGUGAGGAGAUGGGAAAGUCAUUUAUUCUGUCCACCAUGCAGCUCAGCGAGCAGUGACAGGAAAAACACAAUUGGCUAUUCCAGAUCCAGUGCAAAUAAAAUAACAAAAUCUACAUUACAAAUAUAAUUCGCCAAUUUUAAUUUAGGAAAAACUAAAAAUGCUCCUGUAAGGUUCCUGCUGUUGUCAUUAUAAUGAAGAAUUUAUGCUUAAUUGACCUGUGCAAACAUUGCAUAGAACAGAGAGAAUCACAACACCAACUGCUGUUUUCAUGUUUUUCAAUGGCAAAACACAGGAUAUUAACAGAUCGGGAUUGUGCCAGUGAUACAAGAUAUUACUACAAGAUCUGUGCACAUUCAUGUUGACCAGUUAAAAAGGAAACAGCAAACCAAUUAAAAUGACAAAAAAUCUACCAACCAAAGGGCUUGGGGGUGAAAAGGCUGAAACAUAAGAUGAAAUAAGGAAAAAAUCUCAGACUUUGCAAGGCACAUACAAUCUUACUCUCAGCUCUCCGCUCUCAGCUCUCGGCUCUUCCUAUCACUCACUGGAGAGCACAGAGCUUCCUGUUUGGGUGCUGAACUAGUGAGACUCAAGGCAGGCAGGACAGGAGAUCUGGAGCUACAUAAAAAUCUGAGCCAGAUAUAACAGAUAGUGACUCCUGGGGCUGCACACCCCUUUUGAGCCCAGUGCCUCUGAUUAACCAGACUGGAUCUAUUUUGGUAACCACUCUCAAGUGAAAGUGAUUAACUCAGUGUGCACAGGAGCAGAAAUGUCCAGUUCUCCUCCCAUUGUGUAAGCAUCAGUCCCACACAUGGCCACCUGCUGUGGAUUUUGCAUGGCCGUAUUAUCUCUGAGUCACAGUACAGCUAGAAAUUGUAGGUUGGGGUGUUUCAGCUGAGGAUGAGGGGGCAAAAUUAAAAUCAGAUGGCACGCUGUCUGAUCUGCAUUGCCUAAUCAAAUGCAGCUGAAUAAUGGCAGCAACCUAAUUACAGAAAAAGCCUUUGUAAAUGGCUAACAAGUUUAAAUGAAUGAAGCGAGUAAGAGUAAGAAUGUCAAACCGUACACAGCCCUGUAUGUGUACCUCAGACCUUCUGAAUGGGUCAGAGAGGUAUCAAAUGGAAACAACAAAAAAAUUCAAACAAAUUCUCUCCUACCGUCCGGUAAACGGUACCGAAGCAUUCGGUCCAA